rnacentral:rRNA from 1 species
UACGUAGGGUCCAAGCGUUGUCCGGAAUUAUUGGGCGUAAAGAGCUCGUAGGCGGUCCGUUAAGUCGGAUGUGAAAUCUCACGGCUCAACCGUGAAACUGCAUCCGAUACUGGCGGACUUGAGGCAGGUAGGGGAAGGUGGAAUUCCUGGUGUAGCGGUGAAAUGCGCAGAUAUCAGGAGGAACACCAGUGGCGAAGGCGGCCUUCUGGGCCUGUUCUGACGCUGAGGAGCGAAAGCGUGGGGAGCAAACAGG